rnacentral:tRNA from 1 species
CCCUAGCAAACCGGUGAUUCGGCCAGACUCAUAAUCCCUUGGUUCCAGGUUCGAAUCCUGGUGGGCCCACCA